AUGACUCGGGAGCUGCCAGAGCUCGCCAACGACGCUGACCAACCGCUAGCACCGGCGCCCUUACCGUGGCGGCCUUCAUGGUGCUCGGUGAACACCUCAUGGCGUACAGGUCGCGACGCACAGAUUGCCAUGAACAGGUCCACGGUGAACAGGUUCAUGGCAAAGGGUACACCGGCGUACAGGUUUUGCAUCACGCUCUUGGAGGAGACGAAGUGGUGCAACCGGAGCUCACUGACGACACAACCCGAGACUCGCCUUCCCCUUCACGGUGUACAGGUCCUUGGUGGAACCAAUAUCCGCAACGACGGAUCUAAGACCGGUUCCUCCUUCAUAAGGCCCGCGUCCUCGACGAACAGGUCAAUGGCGUACAGAUCCUUCACCGAACCAAAGAUUGCAACGACUCUGUACAAGACCGGUCCCUCCUUCGAGAGGCGCACCCACCAUGGCGGACAGUUCCUCGGCGUACAGGUCCAUGGCAUCGCCGGCGCACAGGUCACUCUUUCGCGUAGUACCAGCCCAAGGCGAUGCGGCCUCUGCGAUACCACUUUCCACGGCCCCGUGAGGCGGCCCCUUUGUCUUGGCGGACCGCCGAAUACUCGGCGUCUAGCCGAGACGAGGUGCCAACCACCCCGGGCACGCCUAUGUGAGCAUGAGUUGGGUUUUUUUACACUGACGCCGGUCUCCCCAAACCGUUACUCGCGCAAGGAGUAG
rnacentral:rRNA from 1 species